CCUACGGGAGGCAGCAGUGGGGAAUAUUGGACAAUGGGGGGAACCCUGAUCCAGCCAUGCCGCGUGUGUGAAGAAGGCCCUCGGGUUGUAAAGCACUUUCAGUGAGGAAGAACGCCUGGUGGUUAAUACCCAUCAGGAAAGACAUCACUCACAGAAGAAGCACCGGCUAACUCCGUGCCAGCAGCCGCGGUAAUACGGAGGGUGCGAGCGUUAAUCGGAAUUACUGGGCGUAAAGCGCGCGUAGGUGGCUUGAUAAGCCGGUUGUGAAAGCCCCGGGCUCAACCUGGGAACGGCAUCCGGAACUGUCAAGCUAGAGUGCAGGAGAGGAAGGUAGAAUUCCCGGUGUAGCGGUGAAAUGCGUAGAGAUCGGGAGGAAUACCAGUGGCGAAGGCGGCCUUCUGGACUGAUACUGACACUGAGGUGCGAAAGCGUGGGUAGCAAACAGGAUUAGAUACCCCAGUAGUC
rnacentral:rRNA from 1 species